rnacentral:rRNA from 1 species
GGAUAAUCUACCCAGUAAUCCGGGAUAACAUCUCGAAAGAGGUGCUAAUACCUGAUAAGCCCACGAUCUCUUCGGAGAACGAGGGAAAAGGUGGGGACCUUCGGGCCUGCCGUUGCUGGAUGAGUCCGCGGCCCAUUAGCUAGUUGGUAGGGUAAUGGCCUACCAAGGCUACGAUGGUUAGUUGGUCUGAGAGGAUGACCAGCCACACUGGAACUGAGACACGGUCCAG